CCGGUGGUCGAGAUAUACCCUAGAAUUUAUUAUAACAACAGCUACCGCGGCCACUCGACGACGAAGGUACUUACCUCACUAAUAUAAUAAUAUGCAUACGGUAAUAUAACUAUAAUAGUUAUGAACCCUUGUGUUUCGAGUAUGUAUAACCUAAGUAUUUGCUACUGCAGCACCGUAUAUGUAUACGAUUCCCGAACAUCUC